rnacentral:rRNA from 1 species
GACGAACGCUGGCGGCGUGCUUAACACAUGCAAGUCGAACGGAAAGGCCCUGCUUUUGUGGGGUGCUCGAGUGGCGAACUGGUGAGUAACACGUGAGUAACCUGCCCUUGACUUUGGGAUAACUUCAUGAAACUGGGGCUAAUACCGGAUAGGAGCUCCUGCUGCAUGGUGGGGGUUGGAAAGUUUCGGCGGUUGGGGAUGGACUCGCGGCUUAUCAGCUUGUUGGUGGGGUAGUGGCUUACCAAGGCUUUGACGGGUAGCCGGCCUGAGAGGGUGACCGGCCACAUUGGGACUGAGAUACGGCCCAGACUACUACGGGAGGCAGAAGUGGGGAAUAUUGCACAAUGGGCGGAAGCCUGAUGCAGCAACGCCGCGUGCGGGAUGACGGCAUUCGGGUUGUAAACCGCUUUCGCCUGUGACGAAGCGUGAGUGACGGUAAUGGGUAAAGAAGCACCGGCUAACUACGUG